UACUUGAUUCGUCACCAGACGACCUUGCACAAUUAUCACUUAAAAUAAAUUAAAUUUUGUAUUUUGUGUUCUAGGGAUUUGGAUUUUAUGCUAUAUUAUUUUGUCCACCUAUUGAUCUUUUUGUUUUCUGCUUUAACUCAAACCCUUUGCCUUACCUGCAUGGCUGGACAGCUUUAUGUAUCCUAUAAAGCUUACACGAGGAUCCUGCUGCUUCCUCGCUUUCUCUCUCUGUGUGAUAGUUAUCGGUCGUACAGAUUUUGGAGAUUUUCCCUCUGUUCUCAAUUAUUUCCCUCUCCACUUUCUAUCUCUAAGCCAGUGGUCAUUCAUAGACUUGUAGUUGAAAACCCCGGUUCCAAUAGUUGUCAAUAUUGGAUCGAUAAUAGGCCAGACCAUCAUUUUAUGUUGCGGAAGUUCAAGAGGCGCACUGUGCAACUGUUCUAAAAGCCUGAAUUGCUCUCGAACUGAUAUUUGAAGGGGUAAGGCUCAGAAGUGAGCGUAUGCCUGGGAAUAAGUAUAAAGUUAACUCAAACGAUAUUACGGACCAUAUACCAGGUCGACUAGAAAGGCUCUUGCGAGAGAGAAAGCUAAGGAAAAGCAGUAAGGAUUCAUAUUCAAAUGAGGUGAACGACCACAGUAAGGAGUCUGAACUAAUUGAAAAUGACCUUCGUUCGAAAGAAGAAGAAAACGCUGGAAUUUCCUAUAAAUUUUCGGAAGCUUCUGCAGCCUCAAGGGCCUUUGCCGAAGGAUGUGACAAGCAAGAGGGCAAGCCUCCCAGACAACGGUUGCUGGUUGUGGCCAAUAGGCUGCCAGUUUCUGCGGUUAGGAGAGGUGAAGAUUCCUGGUCUCUAGAGAUUAGUGCUGGAGGUCUAGUGAGUGCACUUCUGGGCGUGAAUGACUUUGAAGCGAGAUGGAUUGGUUGGGCUGGUGUAAAUGUGCCAGAUGAGGUAGGACAAAAGGCACUGACUGAAGCUUUGGCUGAGAAGAGGUGUAUCCCUGUUUUCCUUGAUGAAGAAAUUGUUCAUCAGUACUACAAUGGUUAUUGCAACAACAUUUUAUGGCCUUUGUUUCAUUACCUUGGCCUUCCUCAAGAAGAUCGUCUUGCCACCACGCGUAGCUUUCAGUCUCAGUUUGCCGCAUACAAGAAAGCAAACCAAAUGUUUGCUGACGUAGUAAACAAGCACUAUGAGGAGGGUGAUGUUGUUUGGUGCCAUGAUUACCAUCUUAUGUUUCUUCCCAAAUGUCUAAAAGAUCAUAAUCGUAAGAUGAAAGUCGGCUGGUUUCUCCAUACACCUUUUCCUUCUUCUGAAAUCCACAGGACCCUUCCGUCCCGAUCAGAGCUUCUGCGCUCAGUACUUGCUGCCGAUCUGGUUGGCUUUCACACGUAUGAUUAUGCUCGUCAUUUCGUAAGUGCUUGUACUCGUAUUCUUGGACUUGAGGGUACACCAGAAGGAGUUGAGGAUCAAGGAAAGCUAACGCGAGUUGCUGCAUUCCCUAUUGGUAUCGACUCAGAUCGAUUCAUACGUGCACUCAAGACUUCUGAAGUCCAAGUACGCAUUGAAGAGUUGAAGGACAGAUUUAAAGGUCGAAAGGUAAUGUUAGGCGUUGAUCGUCUUGAUAUGAUUAAAGGAAUACCUCAAAAGAUAUUAGCAUUUGAAAAAUUCUUGGAGGAAAACACUGAUUGGCGUGAUAAAGUUGUUUUGCUGCAAAUUGCAGUGCCAACAAGAACAGACGUGCCAGAAUAUCAAAAGCUUACAAGCCAAGUUCAUGAAAUAGUUGGACGCAUUAAUGGGAGAUUUGGAACAUUGACUACCGUGCCCAUACAUCAUCUGGAUCGCUCCCUUGAUUUUCCUGCAUUAUGUGCCCUCUAUGCUGUAACUGAUGUAGCGCUUGUCACAUCUUUGAGGGAUGGAAUGAAUCUCGUCAGUUAUGAAUUCGUCGCUUGCCAGGAUGCAAAGAAAGGGGUUUUAAUUCUUAGUGAGUUUGCUGGUGCUGCGCAAUCUCUGGGUGCUGGGGCACUUUUGGUCAACCCUUGGAACAUAACAGAAGUCGCAAAAUCCAUCGAGCGAGCAUUAAAGAUGGGUGCUGAAGAAAGAGAAAAGCGCCAUUGGCAUAAUUUUCUUCAUGUGACAACACACACUGCCCAGGAAUGGGCUGAAACUUUUGUGAGUGAACUUAACGAUACAGUAGUUGAAGCUGAACUGAGGAUUAGGCAAUGUCCACCCCCGCUUCCAUUUGACAAUGCAAUGAAACGUUAUGAGCAAUCUACUAAUCGAUUACUCAUACUGGGGUUCAAUUCAACAUUAACUGAACCAGUGGACACUCCUGAAAGAAGAGGCGAUCAGAUUAGAGAAAUGGAUCUGAAACUACACCCGGAUUUGAAAGAACCAUUGACGGCGAUUUGCAACGACCCCAAUACGACAGUGGUCAUCCUCAGUGGGAGCGAUAGAACAGUGUUGGAUGAUAACUUUGGGGAGUAUGAUAUGUGGUUGGCAGCUGAGAAUGGGAUGUUUCUACGCUUCACAAGGGGUGACUGGAUGACUACAAUGCCUGAGCAUUUGAAUAUGGAAUGGGUCGACAGUGUGAAGCACGUUUUUGAGUACUUCACAGAGAGAACUCCCCGUUCCCAUUUUGAACUCCGCGAAACUUCACUUGUUUGGAACUAUAAAUAUGCAGAUGUUGAGUUUGGAAGGCUUCAAGCAAGGGAUAUGCUGCAGCAUUUAUGGACAGGUCCAAUUUCUAACGCAUCAGUUGAUGUUGUUCAAGGUAGCCGAUCUGUUGAAGUGCGAGCUGUUGGCGUUACCAAGGUUAGUCCUUGACCGAAUAUUGGGAGAAAUAGUUCACAGCAAGUCCAUGACGACUCCAAUAGACUAUGUCUUAUGUGUAGGCCAUUUUCUUGGGAAGGAUGAAGAUGUUUACACAUUCUUUGAGCCUGAACUACCAUCGGAUACCAUAGGCAUGGCAAGAUCAAAGGGAACUGACGGACUUAAGUUAACGGGGGAGAGAAGAUCUUCCAUCAAAGUUCCUGCAAGUAGGAACGGAUCGACAGCGCCUCACAAUAAGGCGCGGUCGAACCUGGAGAAGAAAACUUCAAAUCAUAAUUGUGCAAACGGUCGUAAACCAUCACCGGAGAAGAUUCAAUGGAAUGUGCUCGAUCUCCAGGCUGAGAACUACUUCUCUUGUGCUGUCGGACGAUCUCGGACAAAUGCUCGAUAUAUGCUCGGAUCAUCAGAUGAUGUGGUGUCAUUCCUAAAGGAGUUGGCAAGUGCAAAGUCAUUUUCUUGAGACCCAAGUAUGUGCUUGCUUGCUUGCUCGCUCGCUCGCUCAUGUUUAUGUCUAAACUGGUGAUCAUGCUCGAAAUUGUGCGUUUGGUGUCUUUUUGCUCCACAGUGUCAUCAGUGUCUUUUUCCUUUUGUUGCUUCGUUUUUACCCUCAGCUACUUUAUGGAAUCUACAGCGUUUAAUAUCCCCAAGCCUAUUUAGUUACAUAAGUUAAGUGUUCCAUCUUUUUCAAAAUUAAAUUAUUAUUAUUUUCUAUUA